CAUUCCUAUGAAGAUUGCAUCUGUAUUUUAACGUUAAAAGUAGACUGAAAGUCAACUGAUGACAAAUCAAUUCUGAGGGAUG